UGGAAUCAGAAUCCCAAUAGAGUAAAAAUGAAUUGGCCCCAAAGAUACACACGAUGUAGAAUGCCAAAUAAAUUGGGCACUUCCUGGAAAUUGGAGACUGCUAGAAAAAAACUCGGCACCAUGAAGCAAAACAAACAUAAGCAGCAAUUGGAGCACAGCAAACUUGAUUCUUCCUCAUAUGAGAAAUGCUGGGUUUGCUGCCCAAAAAAAUAAGGAGAAAAAGAAAAAAGAAAAAAAGACUCAGAAAUGUUCAGGCAGGUCUCUUAAAAAAGAAAAGAUAACAGAUCAUCCAGUGGAUCCUCUUUGGGUCCUUUCUGGGGGAGAGACAGGAUGUGGCUGCUUUACUUGGAACCUGGACUUUCGGAUGGAUUCCGGCAGUCCAAAACGUUGGCUUCUUUGACCCAUAAGAAGGCUAAUAAAUCUUGGAAGUGAGGAGGAAAUGGACACCACACAAAUCCACGGAGAGCUGACUCCUUCACAGCUGUAUCCAGGUCAACUUACUGCAACUCCUUCCAAAACUGAUACUUCUAAAAAGCUUUUGAAUAUUCCAAGAAGUCCAUCCUCAAUGUUUUAGGAUCUUUAAAUUAGAAGGAAUGACUAGAUAAUAAAUAAGAAACAGUGCUGGCUGAGGAGAAAUAAGUCACUGUUAGCAGUAGAUUAAUAGUUCAUUUCUAUUUCUCCACCAAGAUUGUCCUCUGGGGAGCCAGAGAUUUAUCUUCAAGUGAAGCCAAUCUGCAGGGAGUGGUGCUCCUGCUAGACACCUAGACACCAUCCGUUGUUUUUGACUAUAUCCAGCACCACCUUCCUCUUUCCUCUGUCUUCUUGUGCAAAUGUCCACACAGAGAAUAUGAAAUAUUAAAUAUCAGGAAAUAGGUCCU